rnacentral:rRNA from 1 species
AUGACUUGUCACUGGCUGGAGAAGACACUGACGUUCGAGCACCAAGGCGCCAUGAUCACUCUGCAAGGUGUUCGUCCAAAGCAGAACGACAAGCUGGAAGAAAUCGAGCGCGAUCAGGUGCGCAAAUGGCAAGCUGGGAAUGACAUUUGGUACAUGGCAGUCCUUGAUCUGCCCCGUGCACCGGAGCCGCAGAUUACCAAGAUGCCACCCAGUGUCCAGAGUGUACUGACGGACUUCGCGGACGUGUUCGCUGACCCGAAGGGCUUGCCUCCCCAUUGCCGCUACGACCAUGCAAUCACCCUCGUCGACGACGCGCGCCCGGCGAACUCGCGCACUUACCGCUACUCGCCACUACAGAAAGACGAAAUCGAGCGCCAGGUGCAAGAGAUGCUGCAGUCCGGCAUGAUUGAGCACAGCAUGAGCCCCUUCGCCGCGCCCGUGCUGCUCGUCAAGAAAAAGGACGGCACCUGGCGUUUUUGUGUCGACUACCGCCGGCUCAACGACGCCACUGUCAAAAACAAGUUCCCCCUACCCAUUGUCGAUGAACUGCUCGACGAAUUAGCGGGCGCGGCAUUCUUCUCCAAACUGGAUCUUCGCGCUGGCUACCAUCAGAUACGCAUGCGCGCGGGCGAUGAGGAGAAGACCGCCUUCAAGACCCACCAUGGCCAUUUCCACUUUAAAGUCAUGCCAUUCGGCCUGACGAAUGCUCCGGCAACAUUCCAGUGCCUCAUGAACGCGAUCUUCGCCAAGUACGUCCGUAAGUUUGUCAUAAUAUUCCUUGAUGACAUUUUGAUCUUCAGUGAAACCUUGGAGGAGCACCUAGAACACCUUCAUCUCGUCCUCGCCCUGCUCCGGGAGCACCAGUUGUACGCCAAGGAGUCCAAGUGUUUGUUCGCCCAGGCCAGUAUCUCCUACCUGGGCCACAUCAUCUCCAAGGAGGGCGUCGCCACGGACCCCGAGAAGACGCAGGCUAUGGUCGCGUGGCCUACUCCAACAAACACGAUUGAACUUCGCGGCUUCCUCGGCCUCACCGGCUACUACCGCAAGUUCAUCGCGCACUAUGGCAUCAUCGCCAAGCCGCUCACAAGCUUGCUGACCAAGAAGGGCUUCGAGUGGACAGAGAAGGCGCAGGUGGCCUUCGAUCUCCUCAAGCGAGAAAUGGUGACCGCGCCCGUGCUCGCGCUCCCAGAUUUCGAGCACCCGUUUGCAAUCGAGACGGACGCCUGCGACACCAGCGUUGGCGUGGUGCUGGCACAGGAAGGGCACCCGGUGGCGUUCCUCAGCAAGGCCCUGGGGGUGCACAACCAGCGGCUCUCAGCGUAUGAGAAGGAGUUCAUUGCCGUCAUGAUGGCAAUCGAGAAGUGGCGAGCGUACUUGCAAAGGGGCCCCUUCACCAUCAUCACCGAUCACAAGAGUCUCUGCAACCUGCAGGAUCAGCAGCUCGCCACGGACCUGCAACGCAAGGCCAUGGCCAAGCUGGUCGGACUCCAAUUCCAGUUCCGCUACCGUCGUGGCAGUGAAAACGGAGCCGCGGAUGCUUUUUCCCGCGUGGGCGCGUCGCUGAACCUCGACGCGCUCUCCCUGUGCCAGCCCGCAUGGGUUCAGGAGGUGGCAAACUCAUACGCCACGGACGCUGACGCACAGGAUCGUCUGGCUCAGCUCGCGAUCGAUAGCCCAGAUGAUGAGGGUUACGAGCUCUACAAGGGCCUCAUCCGCAAGAAGGAGCGCCUGUGGAUCGGCAAGAACACGGCCUUGCGCACCAAGAUCAUCAGCGCGCUGCACGACAACGCGAUAGGUGGCCACUUUGGCGCCACGGCCACCUACCAGCGCAUCAAGAAGCUUUUUGUGUGGGAUGGAUUGAAGGCCGAUGUCACCGAUUACGUGCGGCAGUGCCCAGUGUGCCAGCACGCCAAGCACGAGCAUUCCAAGCCGGCGGGCACGCUCAUGCCAUUGCCCGUGCCAACCACUCCCUGGCGCGACCUGACCAUGGACUUCGUGGAAGGAUUACUAGCGUCGGAGGGCUUCGAUUCCAUCAUGGUGGUAGUGGAUCGGCUCACCAAGUCAGCACACUUCAUUCCGCUUCGUCACCCAUUCAAAGCUCCCCAAGUGGCCAAGGUUUUAUGGGAUCAUAUCGUCAAGCUGCAUGGCAUUCCGAGCUUCAUUGUCUCCGACCGUGACCGUGUCUUCACCAGUGCUCUCUGGCGCGAGCUCUUUGCCAGCGCAGGCACCAAGCUGCUCUUCUCUACGGCAUACCACCCCCAGACAGACGGCCAGAGUGAGUGA